rnacentral:rRNA from 1 species
CUUGGUCAUUUAGAGGAAGUAAAAGUCGUAACAAGGUCUCCGUAGGUGAACCUGCGGAGGGAUCAUUACAAGUGACCCCGGCCUUACCACCGGGAUGUUCAUAACCCUUUGUUGUCCGACUCUGUUGCCUCCGGGGCGACCCUGCCUUCGGGCGGGGGCUCCGGGUGGACACUUCAAACUCUUGCGUAACUUUGCAGUCUGAGUAAACUUAAUUAAUAAAUUAAAACUUUUAACAACGGAUCUCUUGGCUCUGGCAUCGAUGAAGAACGCAGCGAAAUGCGAUAAGUAAUGUGAAUUGCAAAAUUCAGUGAAUCAUCGAAUCUUUGAACGCACAUUGCGCCCCCUGGUAUUCCGGGGGGCAUGCCUGUUCGAGCGUCAUUUCACCACUCAAGCCUCGCUUGGUAUUGGGCAACGCGGUCCGCCGCGUGCCUCAAAUCGACCGGCUGGGUCUUCUGUCCCCUAAGCGUUGUGGAAACUAUUCGCUAAAGGGUGUUCGGGAGGCUACGCCGUAAAACAACCCCAUUUCUAAGGUUGACCUCGGAUCAGGUAGGGAUACCCGCUGAACUUAAGCAUAUCAAUAAGCGGAGGA